rnacentral:rRNA from 1 species
GUUGAUCCUGCCGGACCCGACUGCUAUUUGGGUGAGAAUAAGCCAUGCGAGUUGAAUGGGAUACCUAAAGUUCCCAUAGCAAACUGCUCAGUAACACAUGAUCAACUUACCCUAUAGAGAAAAAUAACCUCGGGAAACUGAGGAUAAUGUUUCACAAUUGAAUUGGCUUGGAAAAGUUUUUCAAUGAAAAGGAUAAAAAAAAUGGUUUUUAUCUGCUAUAGGAUAGGAUCGUGUUCGAUUAUGGUUGUUGGUGAGAUAAUGGCUCACCAAGCCGAUAAUCGAUAGGGGCCGUGAGAGCGGGAGCCCCGAGAUGGGUACUGAGACAACGACCCAGGCCUUACGAGGCGCAGCAGGCGCGGAACCUCCGCAAUACACGAAAGUGUGACGGGGUUACCCAAAGUGUUCAAUAGAACUGUGGUAGGUGAGUAAUGUCCCCUACUAGAAAGGAGAGGGCAAGGCUGGUGCCAGCCGCCGCGGUAAAACCAGCUCUUCAAGUGGUCGGGAUAAUUAUUGGGCUUAAAGUGUCCGUAGCCGGUUUAGUAAGUUCCUGGUAAAAUCGGGUAGCUUAACUAUCUGCAUGCUAGGAAUACUGCUAUACUAGAGGGCGGGAGAGGUCUGAGGUACUACAGGGGUAGGGGUGAAAUCUUAUAAUCCUUGUAGGACCACCAGUGGCGAAGGCGUCAGACUGGAACGCGCCUGACGGUGAGGGACGAAAGCCAGGGGAGCGAACCGGAUUAGAUACCCGGGUAGUCCUGGCCGUAAACGAUGCAUACUAGGUGAUGGUACGGCCAUGAGCCGUAUCAGUGCCGUAGGGAAACCGUUAAGUGUGCCGCCUGGGAAGUACGGUCGCAAGGCUAAAACUUAAAGGAAUUGGCGGGGGAGCACCACAAGGGGUGAAGCCUGCGGUUCAAUUGGAUUCAACGCCGGGAAUCACUAGUGCGGCCGCCUGC